GCCACCGUAGCUCAGCUGGCAGAGCGUUCGCUUCGUAAGCGAUAGGUCGUGGGUUCGAAUCCCACCGGUGGCU
rnacentral:tRNA from 1 species